rnacentral:rRNA from 1 species
CCAGACUCCUACGGGAGGCAGCAGUGGGGAAUAUUGGGCAAUGGGCGCAAGCCUGACCCAGCAACGCCGCGUGAAGGAAGAAGGCUUUCGGGUUGUAAACUUCUUUUCUCAGGGACGAAGCAAGUGACGGUACCUGAGGAAUAAGCCACGGCUAACUACGUGCCUGCAGCCGCGGUAAUACGUAGGUGGCAGGCGUUAUCCGGAUUUAUUGGGUUUAAAGGGUGCGUAGGCGGAAUGCCAAGUCAGCGGUAAAAUCGCGGGGCUCAACCUCGCUCCGCCGUUGAAACUGGCGUUCUUGAGUGGGCGAGAAGUAUGCGGAAUGCGUGGUGUAGCGGUGAAAUGCAUAGAUAUCACGCAGAACUCCGAUUGCGAAGGCAGCAUACCGGCGCCCAACUGACGCUCAGGCACGAAAGCGUGGGUAUCGAACAGGAUUAGAUACCCCAGUAGC